AGUGAACGCUGGCGGCAGGCCUAACACAUGCAAGUCGAGCGGCAGCACGGCAAUAGCAAUAUUGUGGGUGGCGAGCGGCGGACGGGUGAGGAAUGCAUCGGGAUCUACCCUGUCGUGGGGGACAACGUAGGGAAACUUACGCUAAUACCGCAUGAUCUGGAGACAGCAAAGCCGGGGACCUUCGGGCCUGGCGCGAUGGGAUGAGCCGAUGUCCGAUUAGCUAGUUGGCGGGGUAAAGGCCCACCAAGGCGACGAUCGGUAGCUGGUCUGAGAGGACGACCAGCCACACUGGAACUGAGACACGGUCCAGACUCCUACGGGAGGCAGCAGUGGGGAAUAUUGGACAAUGGGGGCAACCCUGAUCCAGCCAUGCCGCGUGGGUGAAGAAGGC
rnacentral:rRNA from 1 species